CAGGAAGAGAACUCUCUCACUCCAAUGUGGUGUUAGAAAUGGCAUUCUUUUAUUCCUUACAAUAUAUACCAGGUGACUUGACAAAUCACGUGCAUGCUCUCAGAGUUCAAAUUCUACAUUUAACCAGUUAAGACAUACAUACGCAACACACUGGGAUACGUAUUUAUUCUUUUCCAAGAACUCAUCAAUAGAUGCUGAUGUCCCUCUGUGCGUGAACAGUAGCGACCUCUGGUGGUCUUCAACCACGUCCUUUCUCCCCCUUUUUUCCACCAUCACGGUCGUCACAGUGACUUUUGGCUGACCUCUAGCUAUUUUUCCCCAGUUUUGCACAUUUUCAUUGCUUGUUAGGCCAUGACGAGAAACUUUCUAUCUUAGAGCACUCUAAUCCAAAACAAUAUAUGUGAAAUCUGAGGAAGAAGUCUUUGCACCUGGUAGAUGCAUAGACAGAAGUAGUCCAUUGUGACUCCAGUGCUCCUUUGAAGCAGAAUUGGUGAGAAAAACAAGGCUGUUCACACACGAAGUUAAAAUAGAAAGUUUUGGAACUAGCACUCAUUAAUUCCUUUCGCUAAACUAAUAUAUUAGUCCUUAAAUUAAUAUACUGAUCCCUCUUGCUAAACCAGCCUAUAUCAUCUGAGGCUUACUUUACCACUGUAUGUGGAAACAGCCUAGUGACGCUGUUUACUUCUCUUCAUAUCUCUUUGUACACCAGUGCUCUUCCCAUCUCUAAAGAUCAGUAUAUCUCUUCUCUGUUGUGACCCAGAUGUCUUCCCCAUCCUGUGGACCAAAGGUCUGCCAGCUCAGGGGUACCUCAGCAGGAGCUCCAGGAGCAGAGAAAGAUCCAGAGCAGGAUGUUCUGCAAACGUGUACUAAUGGGGCUGUACCACUGUGAAAGGCUUUACUGGAGGCAAUAGGUGACAGAUGUAACUUUGUUAUUUCAGGUGUAUGCUAACCAGAACUGGCCUCUUCACAGCACCCAGGAAAGAUGCAACUUGCCUAUACCACUGUGCUAUUGUUGUAUUGUAUGUGUGUAUUAUUGGUGGGGGAGUCAGUUGUUUGUGCUCUGUUGAAAGCAACACUGUCAUCCUAAGCGUGAGCUCACCCAAAACUCUUACACAGACCUUCACUUCCCACUGAAAAUAAGUUGAAGCAUUAUACCCCAGUGUCAUGGCUUUAUGAUUUUUGGUUAUUGGUAUUCCACAUCAUAACAUCAUGCAGUGUACUGGGAGUUAAAGAGCAAAUGCUCUAGUUCCGGGUACUUGUCCGGAAGAGAAGAAGAACUACGUUCCCCAGAAGGCUGUUUGAGUACUGUUAUCAUUCCUGCUCAGGGGAACAGAUAUAAGGCCUGUAGGUCACCUGACCUGAGUCUUCUCCUUCUUCUUGUCUCGUCGUGCUCGCUUUCGGAUCGUCUCGCUGCUGCUCCCGACUGCACGCAAGGCUUCAGUAUUGGUCCUGUGGGAUUUUCAAAACCUCAGCAACCCUGAUCCAAUCAGCUUGUGGCAAGAGAACUACCAUAUGUUUGGAAAUCUUGGAGAAAUAAAGCAUUUGCCUGAAGUACAUUCAGAGAAGAUGUGAAGACAGCCUGAUCUAGAUGAUCCUGGGAGAAGCUGGCUGGAUGGUAGUUUUAUGUCUUUCCAGUUCCUGGGAAAUCACAGAAUCAUAGCAUCAGCAAGAUUGCAAAAGACCUCUGAGAUCACCCAGUCCAACCAUCCACCUAUCACUAAUAUUUCCCACUAAACCAUGUCCUUCAGUACAACAUCUAAAUAUUUAUUGAGCACCUCCAGGGACAGUGACUCCACCACCUGCCUGGGCAGCCCAUUCCAGUGCCUGACCACACUCUCGAAAAAGAAGUAUUUCCUAACAUUCAACCUGAAUCUCCCCUGGCACAACUUGAGGCCAUUUCCUCUAGCCCUGCUGCUAGAUACAUAGGAGAAGAGAGAUAUGAGUCUCUUACAACAAAAGGUAAGGGUGGCCUACUCCUUACCAUUACUUGUUGUGUUUGCAGAGACAGCAUUUUUCUCACUAAUGACUGAUGGUGUCUAGUCUGAGGUUCAGAACAAGCUGUGAAACACUCUUUGAUGGCUGCUUCCCAACACUUCCACACAGAUAGGGAAGGCUGAGAACUGCUGCCUGCCAGCUGCAGCAUGCACACUGCUCAUCAGCACCAAACCUUUCUGAACUGUGACUCUGCGUGUGCCUGAACUCUUCCGCUGCCAUUCCUUACCCCUCCCAGAUGACCCCAUGUCCAUGUCUUCAGUGUAAGUAUGCUUAUAUACAAAUUAUAUGACAUGUCUGGAACUGAGAAUCAUCAAAUUCAUUGAAGUGUGGAGAUGCCCACUCUGUUAGCCCAGUGAAUGUGGCAGUGCAGCUAAUGGCAAACACUCAAGUGCUGGGAGCCCCAUUUGAGCAACUGCAUCUGUGCAGAAACCUGGUGGAGCCCAGCAGUGCUCUCACAGCACAGCACUCAGCCUGGGCAAACUGAGACCCGUAGGACUUGUAAUUAAAACUUUACAGCUCUGUGCUAUGGCAUAAUGUAUCUAGCAAAAAUUACAAGUUUUUAUUGUUGAAAUAUCAAAAAAUAGUGCCUGUAAUGCAGAAAGAAUGCAUUGCCAGGCACAAUUACUGUUAGGUAAAAAGCAAUCACUGUUGUUGAUUCAGACUUGGUUUUCCUGCCUUUUGUAUUGUCAAGUAUUGGCUUGACAAAGUGUUAGGUAUCCCUAAUACAGUAUUCCAUGGAGAACUUAAGCAACAUGGCAUCUCAUUUUUCAAGGCUACCCAACAACAGAGCCUGAAGUAUAUAUAGCUUUCUUUUCUGGUCAUCAGUAACAUGGAAGAUAAUAAAAUAUUUAUGUUACAUAACAGGAACCCUCUGGUUAUGCUUUAUUUUUGGAAAAGUUAAAAAAAAAAGUACAAGGGCUUCUCUGAAAUGAGCACUUACAGCUUAAUGGGAAAUGUGACGUGGAUUUAGCAGCAGCAGUGAACAAAAGCAGCAGACUGAGGUAGCAAUGGAGUGCUCCAGAGUUUGAUGCAUCUUGCUUUCUUCAAGCCACAUCAUGUGGACAAUUAUGUGCUCACUGCAUUUGCCAGCAGGGCAGUUUUUCUUGUUCCCCACACAAAUGUGUGUCUCGUGUAUAAUUCCAGAGCUUUAAUUGAGAUGGAGUGUGUUUCCGCAUAGAAUUACCCCUGAGAAGUUAACUCUCUGCCAGGGAGUGAUACUGAGCAAAACAGAGCUCAGCCUGAGCAUAGAGGUGAUGCCCAUGCUUUCCAGACCAGGCUGGAGGCUGCUUUUGCUGAACUAUGGCAAAGAAGUGGGUGCAGGAUCAUGAUGUUGGAGUUAAUGUGGAUUUUCUCUCCCCAUAUUAACUCUACACGUGCAAAAGAGGUGUUGAAACUCAUCUCUGAUAAUAUCACAUUAUCACAGGCAUACUUGGCCUUUCUCAAAAUGAUUCAAAAGUACCCCAGAAAGAUAAAUACAAUGUCCCUGACAUUCUGCCUAGAUAUUUCAUCACAGCAUUGCUACAAAUCAGCAUUAUAUUGCACCAUGCCAUUACCAACCUUCUGACAGAGUAUUAUCCUGGGUAAGUGUUUGACUGUCCUGCAGAUAGGUCUGGUGAGUGAACAGAUGAAAGAAAAGAAAAAAAGCAGGAAGACUUAGUGGACAAAAGGUUGGCUAAGAGCCUGAACGUCAAAAUUGAAGCUGUUGGUGCUCAGG